rnacentral:lncRNA from 1 species
CAGUCAUUCUAUAUAUAAUAGUAAUAAUAAUGGCAACAUUAUGAAACAUUCAUUACCUAAUGAUGAUUUUGUUAACAACACUAAAAUUGAUGAAUAUGAUGAAGAGAAGCGUCAGUACAAUUGUAAUAAUGAGAGUGAUACUUAUAAAAAUAGUUCUGGAAAAAGUGGAUAUGGGGGUACAAAAAAUAAAAAUAGUUUACACCAUCAUGAACAACACCAUGCUGGUAAUAGCACUAACGAUUCUGUACAUAAAGGAAAACGCAUUAACAGCAACAACUAUAAUGAUAAAAAUAAACAAAACGAAAAUAAUGAAUUGUGUAAUAGUAAUAAUGAUACCGAGGAUGUUGUGGGUGACCAAGUGAAAAAAGGUGAGGGAGAUGGAGAGGAAGAAGGAAAAGAUAAUUAUAUUAAUCACAGUGAUCAUUAUGGUAACAACGAAAUUAAUUAUGAUAAUAAUCAAAACGAUUGUACCGGUAGUAGUAGAUUAGAUGUUAAUAGAAACACAACAAAUGGUAACACUACUACUAUAAAUGCUUAUAAUAACAAUGUGUACAAUACUGAUAAUACCCAGUUUAAUAAUAACAAUACAGGUAGGGAAAAAUCGUCAGGUUGGAACGAAAGCUACUAUUAUAAAAAUUAUGAUCAGGAUUCUUUUUAUAAUGAAAAUGCAAACAAUAUUUUUGAUGUAAAAUAUGGAGUAGGUUUUAAAAUGGCAUAUGCUAGAAUAGCUUCAAGUUGUGCCAUCAUGUCAAGGACAGUUAAUACAAUAGGGAUAGGUUUAUUAUCAUUAGAAUUAAUGAAUCAUUGUGAUUCAAAAGAAUUAGCUACACCAUUAUGUAUGUGGAAAUUACCUAAUAAAGAAUUAAUAAAUAGAAAUAUUGCAAAUAAAUCAGAACAUCGACAUCAUCAAAAAUUAUUAAUGUCUUAUACUCCUUUUAAUAGUCCUAGUUUAUUAGCUGAACAGAUUAAUAUAUUAGGAACGUAUAGUGGUACAAGAUUAUUAUUUUGGGAUUUUAGAGAUGACAUGGAUUUUGUUAUUUUUAAUUCUUCAAAUAAUAACAUUUAUUUGAGUAGUUCACCUAUUACUAUGGAUGAGAUUAGAUGUUCUAACAAAAAAAAAUCGUCAAGUUCGACAUCACACCAUAAUGUAAAAGGUGGGUACGCUAGGGGAUAUAACAGUAAUAGCAGACAUCAGGGUCAUGGCCAAAACUUAAAUCAAUACCGAUUGGAGGAUAUAAAAACUAGUAACAAUGAUGUCAAAAGAAGAGUAAAUUUUGAAGAUGAGAAAAAAUUUAAAAAGACAAAAUUAGAUGUUGAUAAUGGAGUAAUGACAUGUGUUGGAGGGAUCAAAACGAUUGGAGAUACGACAAGAACAACCACUAACACGACAAGAACAACCACUAAUACGAACAGAACGACCACUAAUGCGAACAGAACGGCCACUAAUACGAACAGAACGGCCACUAAUAUGGUGACAAAUGUAGAUGGUACUAUUACUAUAAGUAAUGAAUGUGACAAUACUGUUGCUUAUGGAACGAGUGAAGAUGAUAAAGAUGAUGAUGGUGUUAAUGAUGAUAAUAAUAAAAAAUAUAAACAAAAAAACAUGACUGAAAAGGAUUCAGAUGAUAUAAAAAAGGAGUCUGAUGUGAGUAAAAAUAUACAUAAUAAAGAUAUUGGAAAACAUACGAAUGGGGAUGAUGAUAUAAAUGGGGUUGUUGGUAAUUCUAGUGCGGAUAAAAAUGAGUUAAGCAUAAAUGAGAGUAAUGUGACUACAAGUGCAUGUGCGGUUGGUGAAAAUGGCACUGUAGAUUAUCAACAUCAAGAUGUAGAUACAAAUAUUAGUAGCAAUAAUAACAAAAACAAUAUUGGAGAUAAUAGUAGUAACCAAACACAUACUGCAUUGUCUUCAGUACCUUCAUCAUUUAAUUAUAAACACCGACAACUGAAAGAUGAUCAAUUUCAGUGUUAUAAUGAUACAUUAAAACAAUAUAACCAAUUUGAGUUUAAUUCACAUUUACAACCAUCGAUAUCUAGAGAGAAGUAUAAAAUAAGUCCCAUAUUCCCUUUAUGGGAUGACCCUAAGGAUAGUAUUGAUUAUUGUUUAUCUACAUAUUUAUAUUGGCUAUAUUUAAGAAGGAAUACGAACAUUUUUUUACAAAACACAUUAUUGAUACCUACGUGUAUGAGAAAGAAAGAUAAGAAUAAUAAUAGAAACGAUAAUAUAUAUAACAAUAAUUAUUUUAUUCACCAGACGGAUGGUAAUACCUGUAGUCAUAAUAAUUUUGGAAAUAGUAGUACUACAACCACCACUGCUACUACUAUUAUUAAUAAUAAUAAGAACAGUAACAAAGGUAAAAGGAAAAAGAGAUAUAAAAAUAAUACUAUUACUAAGAAAUUAAAAAAGAAAAAUGAAAAUGUUAUUAAAAAUGACGACAUUAGUCAAACUGUGUCUCACCAAUUGAAUGAUCAUAAUGAAAUUGUAAAAGAUAUAGCAAUUAUUAUUAAAGAUGAAAAAGAUGAAUCUUAUGUUAGGAACCAUGAUGAUGAUAAUGAUCAGAUGUUGAAUGGGACAGAUAAUCCCAACGAUCCGAAUGAACUUAAUAAUAAUAAUAAUACAACAAACAAUAAUGAUGAUGGUGACAUUUUUACAGAACAAAGUGGUAACAAUAAUGUAGAUAAUACAAUAAUCGAAACAGAUGAAACUGGAGUUAAUGUUAUUAAUGAUAAUGGAAAUGAAAUUGAAGUAAAAGUAGAAAAGGGUGAUGAUGAUAAAAAUAAAUCAGAAGAUAUGUAUACUAAAACGGCUGAGAAGGUAGAACAGAAUGAAAAAGAAAAUGAAGAGGAUCAAGUGAAUGAGCAAGAGAAUGAGGAAGAAGAGGAUCAGGAAGAGGAAGAGGAGGAAGAAGAAGGGGGAGAGGAAGAAGAAGGAGAAGAAGAGGGAGAGGAAGAAGAAGGAGAAGAAGAAGGAGAGGAAAAAGGAGAGGAAGAAGGAGAAGGAGAAGGAGAAGGGGAAGAUGAUGAUGAUGAUAAUGAAGUAGAUGGGUGGACAAAACUAGAAAAGAAAAAGUUACAAGAGGCACUAGAGUUUGGUAUAUCACAUAAUACAGGGAUGUAUCCUAACAGUAGUAAUCAUUAUUAUGGUAGUUAUAGUCGAACUAGAAGCAGUAGUAGCAGUAGUAAUAACAGUAAUAGUAGUAAUAAUAGUAGUAGUAUAAAUAAAAAUAAUAAUAAUAAUUCUAAUAUAGAUAAAAAGGAAUAUGACCGAACACUCGAUGGAGGAGAAGACGAAGAGGAGAAGGGAGAAAAUGUUGGUGAGGGUAAUAGCAACAAUAAUGAUGAAAACGAAGGUAUAAAUAAAACAGAUGGAGAUAAAGAGAGUGUGGAUUUAGAUAAAGAUACAAAUUUUAAAGAUAAUAAUAAUUCUGUUCCGGAAGAUAAACAUAAGAAUGAAGAUGAAAUUAUUAAUAUGAAUAGUAAGAAGAGUACAGGCGUUUGUAAAGAAAAAGGAAAAGGAAAGGGAAAAGUAGACAGUCAGUUUAACAAUGAUAAUAGUGAAAUGAAUUCAUACAAAUCGAAUGAAAUGGGUCCAUAUAAUAUAAGUAAUAUUGUUGGAAAGAUAAAAAAAUUAAAAAAGGAAAAAGGGAAACGCAAAACGUCUACAAAUUAUAACAAGAAUUUUUAUAGUAAUAUUAAUAAAAAAAGAUUAAGUUUGAUGGUACCUCAAAAGAUUCGUCACAAUCAUCUUAAUUAUUAUAAUAAUUUAAAAAAUGAUGAUAAUGAUAAAAAUAAAAAAGAAAAUUAUGUUAAUUUAUAUAUGGAAAACCUAAAAAUAAAAGAUGAAUAUUAUAUUAAUAAUCCCAGUAAAUAUAGUUUAUAUAAUUUAUUAAGAAGGAAAUUAUAUAAAAUGGUAGAGUUUCAUUAUUUGUUUACU